rnacentral:rRNA from 1 species
UACGGGGGGGGCAAGCGUUGUUCGGAAUUACUGGGCGUAAAGGGCUCGUAGGCGGCCAACUAAGUCAGACGUGAAAUCCCUAGGCUCAACCUAGGAACUGCGUCUGAUACUGGAUGGCUUGAAUCCGGGAGAGGGAUGCAGAAUUCCAGGUGUAGCGGUGAAAUGCGUAGAUAUGUGGAGGAACACCGAUGGCGAAGGCAGCCUCCUGGGCCAAUACUGACGCUCAUGCACGAAAGCGUGGGGAGCAAACAGG